GGCAAGGUGGCCGAGCGGUCCAAGGCGCCACGUUAGGGAUCUUGCCUUAAUUCACACUUGGGUAGUACUCGAGAGAGAAACCCAGAGUUCCGUGGUCUUGAAAGGGGCGUGAGUUUGAAUCUCACCCUUGUCA